UACAGAGACUGCAAGCGUUAUUCGGAUUCACUGGGCGUAAAGGGUGCGCAGGCGGCCAAGUGUGUUAGGCGUGAAAGCCUGGGGCUUAACCCCAGAAUUGCACCUAAAACUACAUGGCUAGAGCAUUGGAGAGGGUAGCGGAAUUCACGGUGUAGCAGUGAAAUGCGUAGAUAUCGUGAGGAACACCAGAGGCGAAGGCGGCUACCUGGACAAUUGUUGACGCUCAGGCACGAAAGCGUGGGGAUCAAACAGG
rnacentral:rRNA from 1 species